GUCGCCUCCUAAAAGGUAACGGAGGCGCUCAAAGGUUCCCUCAGAAUGGUUGGAAAUCAUUCAUAGAGUGUAAAGGCAUAAGGGAGCUUGACUGCGAGACCUACAAGUCGAGCAGGGUCGAAAGACGGACUUAGUGAUCCGGUGGUUCCGCAUGGAAGGGCCAUCGCUCAACGGAUAAAAGCUACCCCGGGGAUAACAGGCUUAUCUCCCCCAAGAGUUCACAUCGACGGGGAGGUUUGGCACCUCGAUGUCGGCUCAUCGCAUCCUGGGGCUGUAGUCGGUCCCAAGGGUUGGGCUGUUCGCCCAUUAAAGCGGUACGCGAGCUGGGUUCAGAACGUCGUGAGACAGUUCGGUCCCUAUCCGUCGUGGGCGUAGGAAAUUUGAGAGGAGCUGUCCUUAGUACGAGAGGACCGGGAUGGACAUACCUCUGGUGUACCAGUUGUCGUGCCAACGGCAUAGCUGGGUAGCUAUGUGUGGACGGGAUAAGUGCUGAAAGCAUCUAAGCAUGAAGCCCCCCUCAAGAUGAGAUUUCCCAACUUCGGUUAUAAGAUCCCU
rnacentral:rRNA from 1 species